AUUUCAGAAGGCAAGAUGUGAGAGCUCUGAUUCUUCGACAAACGUUUUGGGCAUUGACACCGUUUCGUUAAUCAAAAAAAAAUGCAUUUACACGUAUUAUAAAUUCUCGAGUUCCAAUAAUCCCUUCUUCGAAACAUGAAAAACUGAUGUGAUGAAAAUUCUGUGAUUGGAGACGACGUGCAGCUUUGGCGACACAUUCACAGUCCCGACUUCUUCAGGAUGCCCACGACUGUGAUACUCUCGCAUAGCUAUUCCUCGUCCCCGAUGCGAUUCAAUGUGAUUAACUCAUCUGUUUUACUACUACAACAACUACUUCUUCCCACUGUCGAUGAUAUUUUUUCCCUGAUAAUCUGUAUUUGAUAUUUUCCAGUCUGUGUCUCUUUACCACCGUGAUUCAAUAUCUAUGAUAUUUUUUGUAUUAUCUCGCUUUAUGACCGUGAUUACCAAUAAUUAACGAAUAAUGAAUAUUUAAACCGAAAAUCGUGUAAACUUGAAGAAUGUCGCAUGAAUGAAUUAGCUUUAUUAUG
ensembl:lincRNA linc-5 ncRNA